rnacentral:rRNA from 1 species
GAGACUCUGUGCGCGUGCAUAUCAAUAAGCGGAGGAAAAGAAACUAACAAGGAUUCCCUUAGUAACGGCGAGUGAAGCGGGAAGAGCUCAAAUUUGAAAUCUUAAAGGGUUUCCCUUUACGAAUUGUAGUUUAAAGAAGUGUUUUCUGUUGGAGUUUUGGUAAAAGUUCUUUGGAAUAGGACAUCAUAGAGGGUGAGAAUCCCGUAUUUGACCAUUAUUUCCAACUUUGUGAUACACUUUCAAAGAGUCGGAUUGUUUGGGAAUGCAGUCCAAAAUGGGUGGUAAAUUUCAUCUAAAGCUAAAUAUUGGCGAGAGACCGAUAGCGAACAAGUACCGUGAGGGAAAGAUGAAAAGAACUUUGAAAAGAGAGUUAAACAGUACGUGAAAUUGUCAAAAGGGAAGCGUUUGACACCAGUGUUGUUUUCUCGAAAAUCAAUUAAAAAUGAUGGGAUUUUGUGUUGUAUUGACUUUAUCAGCUUUCUGCACUUUUUUCUUAUCUUUCUUAAUGCACUUUUCGUUUAACAAGUCAACAUCAAUUUCUUUUGUUGUAAAAGGGUACGAGGAAGGUGGCUUGCGUUUCGGAUAAAGUGUUUAUAGCCUUUUCCUCUGCAAUCGGAGAGAUUGAGGUCUGCAGCGUAGAUCCUUCGGGGUUAGAUACAUUGGUGCUAAGUUAUAGUCCUUGUAUAGACAACUUGUUGACUAUGAUUGAGUCAUUGUAGCUUACUCGCUGAUGCUAUUUUACCUACGCUUAGGAUGUUGAAGAUGUAGCACAUCAU